AGAUGGAAGUAGGGCUCCUCUUUGUGAAAAAGGGAGGUCUGGGUUGUUUGAAGACUGGACAGGGUCAAGUGAGCAAGCAGGUAGAAACUACUCCAAGUGGAAAGCGUCCUGUCAUCUAGAAGGGACUGCAAAGUGCACUAAAAUAACAGGCUUGGAUAGAUGAAGCUCUUGUGUAACUGAGAGAGCACUUUGUGCCAAUUUCCAGUUUGAAUACAGAUUAGUCACUUGUGCAGAGCCUUUAAUGAAGUCCUGGUCCUGUAGGGAAUUUGGGAGGCAUGCUGCAUGUGAUUUCGGCUAUCCCUGCUGGAACUGCAACAAAGAUGUCAAGGUCUUUGUGGA